GACUGUACUGCAUCAAAUGCUCUUUCGAGGUUCGUGAUGGGAAUGUUUGUCGCUAGUGUUUGUCGUCGCUCAGCUCGAGUAGCAUUGCGCAUCCUUCUUUGGUUCCUUUGAUCGGAAGUUUCGUCUUGUGGGGCGUUGGCUGUUGACUCGUCCUCUGAGAUAUUGUCGAGUUGUGCUAAUCGCCUAGGGGUUCUCUGUUGGCUAGUACCCG
rnacentral:lncRNA from 1 species